UACUUCGCAUGGAGAAAUAGAUCAGACCAUAUUCUCUUUGCUUGCCUAGAGAGACUGGUUUUUAUUCCUCUCCACAACCUUCAUGAUAGUCACCUGACAAGCAAGCUUUAAAUGAGAUGAUUUUAGAUAUUGCCAUGCUUUCUGACAUGAAUAUGCUCUGUAAUGCAGAUUGUAUAACAAAACCCU